ACAACAACAUUCGGACCGUCGGUCUACCGAGCAAAUAUGACCCGCUCGGUGGAAGAUCUUCCCGUUGUCGUCUAAG
rnacentral:pre_miRNA from 1 species